rnacentral:lncRNA from 1 species
AAAGAGGCAUUUACCUAUUACAGAGAUGGUGCGAUUUGAUUAGUUUUUUAUUUACCCCUUUCGGUCUUAGAAGAAAGAAAGACAAUUCGGGAUAGAAAAAAAAAAAAAAAAGAUUAUUGAAAAAAUCUACGCUUGUUGAAGGUGAAGUUUAUAGAUAAAACCAUUCCUUCUGUCGUGUAUCCCCGAUUAAUGCAGCCUCAGAUGCUUCAAUUGUCGAUUCUAGUAUUGAGCGAAAGGUUACACCUAUGGGUUCUGUAUUGCAAGUCAACCCUACUACACCAGUACCAAUAGGCGGCAUAGGGGAAGAGGCGCUACGUCUAGGAAUCAGCAACACGAAAACUUUGUUAUAAGCUGCCCCCUUUCCUUAGCGGGAUCGGGACUAAGAAGAAUGGUUGGGAUAACAAACAUCCAUCUCGUUCGUACUGUGGAUACCCGUAUAACCAUCGAAGACUGUUGAAGUGAUUAAUUCCUGUAAAUUAAGGGGCGUUGAGAACAAAGAAAUUGUUGGAGUUUCCGGUUUUAUCUAGUACCAACACGCGUGAUAUUAAGAAAAAAGCUUUUGCAGGAAGGUUGGCUAGAGAUUUCUUGUAAAAACAUUAGCCCCACUUAGUUCAUAAUGAGAAUAUUUCAAUCUUUUUUGAUUUCAUGGAUUAUUCUCAUAAUGCACAUAAAGGAGGAGCCGUAUGAGAUUUUCAUCUCAUGUACGGUUUUGAAACGGAGAAUUCUUUGAAUCGAAUGACGACCGUAACGGAUGUCAGCUCAAUCUGAAGGCAAUUAUGCGGAAGCUUUACAGAAUUAUUAUGAAGCUAUGCGACUAGAAAUUGAUCCUUACGAUCGAAGCUAUAUACUCUAUAACAUAGGCCUUAUCCACACAAGUAACGGAGAACAUACAAAAGCUUUAGAAUAUUAUUUUCGGGCACUAGAACGAAAUCCGUUCUUACCACAAGCUUUUAAUAAUAUGGCUGUGAUCUGUCAUUACGUGCGACUAUCUCUACUAUAGAAAGAAAAAAGUAAAAGAAAAAAAAAAAGGAGGGGGGGUAAAGAGCAAAUACACUAAUAAAUACUCGAAAAAAAAAAAAAUAGGCUUUCUACAUAUGCAUCGUGCAAAAACGAUUUUUAUCAGCUGUAGCAAAGAAAGAAACUUCAUAGAAGUCGAAAUAUGAAGAAAUCGAUAUGCCUAGAUAGUUUAUUCUAUGGAUAAAGGAUCUAAUUGAUAGAGGAAGCACCGUAAAGAUCAAUUCGCGAGGUUUUGGGCCGAUGCCGAUCCAAUAAGAACUGCUUAUUUAUGUCAUGAUAUGAGAUAAAAGUAAGGAAUCCACUUAUGUAAUAAAGUCGAUCCCCUAAGGUAUUGAGCAGCGGUGUAGCAUCAGAUCCCAAAGACAGUAAGCCUUUUCUUUCUUAGGAAGAAAGGGCUUUUUCAAAGAUUCUAUAUCAAUUUUUAUAUGAAACCGAGAUAGAUACCUUUCAGAAAAUUCUAACUAUAGUGGAAAUGCUUCUAUGUUAUUCUUCUGACGGUGGGAGAAAAGAUAAAAUGAAAGCAAAGCUGAUUAUUAAUUUAAUCAAAAGUCAAGUUUGAAACUCAUGCUCAUGGAAUUAACCUCUUUUGGUUAACCCCCCAAAAAAAAGAAUAAAGAUAAAGAUCGAUCUAUGAGAAAUCUCAUUCAAUUCGAUAUACUAGAU